rnacentral:lncRNA from 1 species
UCUCUUUUUUUCAAAAUUUCAGUAGAAUUUCAGCAUAUUUUGGAAAUUGGUUUUUCAAAUACAUGCAAUUAUCUUUCUCAGUCCUCACAUUGACUUUCUUUUUCUCAACUGUUUCCCUAUUAUUAGAUAAAUCGGUCCACAUGUAAAUCCGAAGCAAAUGAAUGCACAAGUAGCAAGUAGGAUGCAUCAAGAUGGUCUUUUUAUUUCUGGUACACCUGCCCUAGACAGACCCAACCCUUGUGUUGAGUCUCCAAAUUCAAAUGCACAUGAUGAAAACAAAUGUUCCUACUAGAGAUCUGGCAUGAGGUUGAGUUAUUCUAGGUAUAAAAUCUGGGUAUUCUAUUCUAGACUUGUGCACUCGAGCGGACAACUCAAGCUGAGGAGGGGGCUAUGUACU